UACGAAGGUCCCAAGCGUUGUUCGGAUUUACUGGGCGUAAAGAGUCUGUAGGCGGUGGGGUAAGUCAGAUGUGAAAUCCCGGGGCUCAACCCCGGAACUGCAUCCGAUACUGCCUCACUUGAGGGUUGGAGGGGAGUCUGGAAUUCUCGGUGUAGCAGUGAAAUGCGUAGAUAUCGAGAGGAACACUAGUGGCGAAGGCGAGACUCUGGACAACACCUGACGCUGAGAGACGAAGGCCAGGGGAGCGAAAAGG
rnacentral:rRNA from 1 species